UGAGGUGUGCGGCUUCAAGAGCGCACACCGAAGGCGUUGCAAGGGAUCCAGAGGGGCAGGAGGCGUCUUAAAGUCCUUCCCCUCUUGCCAAACAACGCCUUUGGCUGUUGCUUUUUUAUUUUAUUCUGUUUUACAAAAGAGGGAAACAGUGACCUGAGGAUUCUGCUUUCUGCCUUGUAUUAGGGAGCCACAGUACGCUGCUUUUCUUGUAUUUCAUUUUUUGAUAAGACUUGCUAUGAGAAGGAUGGAAAUAUGACAGCUUUUGAUUUCUUUUAAAAAUAUUUGCUUUUUUUUUUUAAUUACAAAAGUAGAGUAUGUGAUCAUAUAACACACUGGCGUUCAGUUCAUCCUUCCUGCAAAAGAAGGCCAUUGUACUUCCUGACCUGAAAGCAAGGAAACGUCUGCUGCCACGUUAGUGAUGUGAUAAUGGCCUUCACAUAUCACCUGGACAUUAAUGGAAUGAAAUCACUUACUGCUUCUGAAAACAGCUUUGUUCUCAGCUGGCGUCUUCAAGGCACCGUAUGAGCACAGUGGACUUUCUCAGAGGAAGCAACAAAACCAUCAGGAUAUACAACGGCAUGACUCUACUGCAGUGACACAGGCAGCAGGGUACUGGUGUGCAGUACCAGAGCCACACAGGAGAACAGGUUUGGGUCCCUGGUCCACCUGGAUAUUAUGCCCAACACACCUGUGAGCCUGGCUGGCUAGUGUAUUGGUGUGAGGACACAGUGUGGCAAGACCCUACUGAGGCUACCUCUCUUUCUCCCUUCUCAUGAAAUAAACAAACAAACCAAAGGAUAUACAACAAUAAUGGUAAGAUAUAUAGCUAACAUUAUAUAUACAUCAGAAAAUAGAGACCACCUUGGCAAACUCUGAAAGAAACCACCCAAAUUACUUAGACUUUAUGGUGCUAUUUCACUGGAAUUCUUUCAUUUCCUUU